GUUAAAUAAUUGGAUGAAAAAGGAUGGGGUAUAAAAUUAAAAAAAAUGAGAUUCGGGCGAAUGGAACAUAAAAUUCUGGAGCGAUUAAUUAUUCCACGAUUCCACUCACUAGUAUGGUGUCCUCGAUCGGGGCUAACACCGUUAUUACGACAAGCACAGCAGCGAAAAGCACGAUCACGAAGGCGUAUAUUCCAAAGAUCACUUGCCUCAGACCCGAGUGCUACGUAAACGAAUAAAAAGUUGUGGUGAACAAAAAAACGCUUGUCGGGGAUGAAAUAUUCUCAUACCAACUCGAAAUCGCAAAUUAUACUUACCGGAGCGUCUCGUCUCGCGUCCGGAUGACCCAUGGAAGAUCGAGUGUGCAUAUCCUUCAUGGGGAAAGCGUUGAUUCUUAAAUUAUCCUGUCUGUCGGAUGCGCAUCCGGCGAACUGAACAAGGAAAUCGAAUCAGUGAUCAAAUUAUAUCUCGAACCAGAAAUCCGUUAAUUACGCGAUAGCGACGUAAAUAUUGAAAAACCGGGGUCGCAUGUGACGAAAUAAUAUUUGUUAUUUACCGUGAGUAUAAGAUGACUGAGAACGUGGAAAACAACGUAGGCAACGAGAAUCCAGUCGAACCACUCGGGCAAGUUGGCCUUGGUCAUUCUUACAGCGAAGAAAAUAGCGACGACUGGAAAAAAUAAUCAUUAAAUUCGUAUCGUCGAUUAUUGAUAGCACUGACUUAUGGAUUGGGUCGGGAUUGUGCUCGAAUCAUCGUUUCAAUUAAUAGAAAUACUCCGGUUAUGACAUUUUCGUGAGUGCGGUUGUUCGUUACAUGAAAAUGGAAACUUUGAUGGCCAUUCGAUGAAUAAAUGAUGAUCGAGCAUGAGAUGAGAGGGGAGAAUCUUACCGGCACAGAUAUGCGCUGCAUUUCCAACGAACCAGUGGAACCAGUUGAAGAGGGAUCUCUUGGGAGCACCGGGAUGAGGCCUCAUCGCAGCCAUAAAUGGCUGAAUGAAGCAAAGAAGCGUCGUCGCGACGCCGAGCGACGCGUGAAUCGUUUCCGUACUCCAUUCACCAAUCUCAACGAAUAUCAAGACAAACGAUGCUAGCGUCAUCGACCAAGUCGCUAGCAUGAAAAAUCUGUGCCACUGCGUUUCGUGCAAAUAAUUGUAUGAAAAUCUGAGUACUGACGCGAUACGAGUUUUUUUUUUUUUUUAGCGAAUAGAAAUAAUAUUCGAGCGAUCGGGACGUGGAAUUAAUCAUUACUUCCAAUCGCAUUCGUGCUGAAGAAUUAUUUAUAUUUAGUUAUAACUCACAGUGAACCAUUGAUCCUUGCCACAAAUGGGAGAAUUCACCCAGGUCUGUUUAUAAUAUCGGGCGAGAAGAAUCCCGAUGGAUGCUGUGCCAAUCCAAGAAGCGAGCAUCAAACCACCGUGAAUUCGAAUGUAGAGAUCGCUCGCCGCCUUCAAUUCUCCAACGUCCGAGAGCAUCUUGGCUUGGGCCGAUGCCGUUUUUAUGAUGUCGUGAUACCCGAUUCCUUGAGCUGUCGUAAUUUAUACAUUCGUCCAUUAAAAUUCCAUUAGACCGA